rnacentral:rRNA from 1 species
UACGAAGGGGGCUAGCGUUGUUCGGAUUUACUGGGCGUAAAGCGCACGUAGGCGGAUCUUUAAGUCAGGGGUGAAAUCCCGAAGCUCAACUUCGGAACUGCCUUUGAUACUGGGGAUCUUGAGUUCGAGAGAGGUGAGUGGAACUGCGAGUGUAGAGGUGAAAUUCGUAGAUAUUCGCAAGAACACCAGUGGCGAAGGCGGCUGACUGGUCCGGUUCUGACGCUGAGGCGCGAAAGCGUGGGGAGCGAACAGG